GACCCACGGGGAAGAAAGGGGGAAGGGAGUGAGCCGGGGAGAGGCUGCGGCUCAUGGCCUGGGGCGGAGAGCCGGGCUGCGAGGGUCUAGGCUAGGCCCGGCGCCGGCCUGACCCGCCUCGCCGGCAGAAGCUAACCCGGCUUCCUCCUCCCGGGGCGGACGGGGGAUGGGAGGGAGCUGGAGGCCACUGGAAGGGGGUAAAAGGAGGUCCUGAUUCCCCCUCUGCCGCAACCCUCAAAGCUGAUCCUGGCCUCCUGCGGAGACGCCUCAGCACCCUCCUGCAGACCUGACAACCCCCUCCCCAGGCACCCCGGGGGGUGGGGGCUUGGUCUAGCGAGACCCCUUCGCUACCCGGAGCAGCCGGCGGAGCUCCGGUGGAGGAAGCGAGGAGGACAGCCAGGAGGAUGCUGCCGCCGCCGCAGCAUCAGGGCCCUGGGCUGCCGCAGGGCGCGAGGCCUCCCGCAGCAGGGAAACCCGCCGGGCCAGAAGGAGCAACGAGGGAUGUAGAGUCAAAGAGAAGGAGAUGCGUUCAGAGAUUACCCCCUCCUGCUCCGCCCCCGCCACCAGGCCGGGCCCUCCAGCUUCGGGGGAUCCUGGCCCUCCCUCUACUGCCGGCGGUUUGGGGGACAGGGGGCGGGGAAGGCACAAGAGAAGAGGAAGGUUCCCAGCGGCACCACUGACUCAGGACGGGGCUCGCCGCGUCUGGACCCUGAUUCUCCUCCUAGGUGGUUCUCAGGCCGCUGCGCUGGACUCCCAGGAAAGGGAGCGACCACCCCAGCCAGGAAAGGGGUCAGCAGCGCGGGACUCAGCCGGGUGAACUCCGGGGGGCCUCGCACUUUUCGGGAGAGGUAGGAUGCACGGGCACCUGCUCCAACCCUAGUCUCCCAGCGCUCCCAGCUAGUCGCCCACCGCCUCACCGCAGAGCAUCUCCAGAGCCCCCGGGUUGGGUUGCCCAGCCGAGCCCUGAGAACGCUAGCCUUUGCCGAGUCUCCUCUGGCCACUUCAAUUCAGCAUUUCAGGAGGAGGGCCUUAUCUUGGAGCUUUUUUAUUUUUACUUCUUAGAUUAGCCAAGAAACCGGGGUGUGAUUGUUGUUGGACAAUCAAUAGUGGACUUCAAGAGGAGGGGAGGGAUUAGAUGAUGGAGAAUAAUUUCGUUCAGAUGAGAAGACAGUAGAGGAGAGUUUCUGAAAUCGCGAAUUGUUCCUGUCUUCCUUUGGAUAUGCUGGAGAUUCCUUGGUAAAAAUCUGUGAAUCUGGGCUCAGAGGUGUAAAGAGGCCACCCUCCUGCGUACAGCCUUCACCUGUGUGUCCCUCCUCAGACUACGCCCUGCCGGCGGCCUCUAAUGCCAGACCCUUGCCUACCGCUCUGCUCUCUGCCUGCCGCCUGCCACCUCGUAGACCCCAAGCAAUUUGUUAUAUAAAACAAAACAGCAGUCACACACAAGUGCCUGCAGACCCUCAGUGAGACACCCAGGGAGACCUCCUCUGCUGAAGCGCCUUGGGCAAUGUGUUUCUCAUCCUUUCCACCGCUGCCGUGCCUGACCACCAUCUCUAGUCCCCGCUGCCCAGCAGUCAGAAGGAAAGGGGGGUUUGGACUCCAGCUCCAAGGCUUCCAUGACCAGCUAGGUAGGGCUGCUAAACAUCUGUCUGAUUACACCAACCAUUAAGAAAACGAAGUGAUCAGAAAUACUUGGUCCACACACAAUGACAUACCACAAAACGAAUGCACAAUUUAUAUGUGAAAUGGCUCAGACACCAAGAAUGAGACAACACUGCAGUGCAGCCCAGAAAUGCUUAGGAUAACUCGGUACUAGAAAAUACUGGGGUUUAAGACUCUUUCACCACACUUUAUCAGGACCCUAAUUCUCCACUACUUCCCCUGGUUCCCAGGCACAAAUUGCCUUAACCUUUAGAAGAGGGGUUCUCAGCCACCAGGUUCCCAUGUACCUGUGCCCUCCUUGGGCUCUCUGCAUGGCCCUGAGCUGCUGGGAGGCCCAACAGACAGGCUCUACCAAUGAGUGCGCAGGGAUACCCAAUGCCAUCUCUUUCCUGCACCCCUGACUUACUCCCACCUUAUAUACUGGUUGCAAAAAGGCAGUGUGGAAAUAUCAAAUA